rfam:Gossypium hirsutum cultivar TM-1 unplaced genomic scaffold scaffold587.1, whole genome shotgun sequence
UAUUGAAAAAUUCAUUCCUUUGUACUAUUAAAAACUGAUGUGACUGAUGGAAUAAUCAAACAAUAACAUGUGAAAUAUCACGUGCACCUCAUGUUAUCGUACAAAUACUAGUUUUUAAUAGUAGAAUGGAUGUAAUUUAAUA